AUUGAACGCUGGCGGCAUGCUUUACACAUGCAAGUCGAACGGUAACAGGCCUUCGGGUGCUGACGAGUGGCGAAGGGGUGAGUAAUGCAUCGGAACGUGCCCAGAGGUGGGGGAUAACGCAGCGAAAGCUGUGCUAAUACCGCAUGUGAUCUGAGGAUGAAAGCGGGGGACCAGGCAGCAAUGUUUGGCCUCGCGCCUUUGGAGCGGCCGAUGUCAGAUUAGGUAGUUGGUGGGGUAAAGGCCUACCAAGCCGACGAUCUGUAGCUGGUCUGAGAGGACGACCAGCCACACUGGGACGGAGACACGGCCCAGACUCCUACGGGAGGCAGCAGUGGGGAAUUUUGGACAAUGGGCGCAAGCCUGAUCCAGCAAUGCCGCGUGCGGGAAGAAGGCCUUCGGGUUGUAAACCGCUUUUGUACGGAACGAAAAGGCUCUGGCUAAUACCUGGGGCUGAUGACGGUACCGUAAGAAUAAGCACCGGCUAACUACGUG
rnacentral:rRNA from 1 species